rnacentral:rRNA from 1 species
AUUGAACGCUGGCGGCAGGCCUAACACAUGCAAGUCGAACGGUAACAGGAAGAAGCUUGCUUCUUUGCUGACGAGUAGCGGACGGGUGAGUAAUGUCUGGGAAACUGCCUGAUGGAGGGGGAUAACUACUGGAAACGGUAGCUAAUACCGCAUAACGUCGCAAGACCAAAGAGGGGGACCUUCGGGCCUCUUGCCAUCGGAUGUGCCCAGAUGGGAUUAGCUAGUAGGUGGGGUAACGGCUCACCUAGGCGACGAUCCCUAGCUGGUCUGAGAGGAUGACCAGCCACACUGGAACUGAGACACGGUCCAGACUCCUACGGGAGGCAGCAGUGGGGAAUAUUGCACAAUGGGCGCAAGCCUGAUGCAGCCAUGCCGCGUGUAUGAAGAAGGCCUUCGGGUUGUAAAGUACUUUCAGCGGGGAGGAAGGGAGUAAAGUUAAUACCUUGGCUCAUUGACGUUACCCGCAGAAGAAGCACCGGCUAACUCCGUG